rnacentral:rRNA from 1 species
GACGUAGGGUGCGAGCGUUGUCCGGAUUUAUUGGGCGUAAGGAGCUCGUAGGCGGCUCGUCGCGUCGACCGUGAAAACCCGCAGCUUAACUGCGGGCUUGCGGUUGAUACGGGCGGGCUAGAGUUCGGUAGGGGAGACUGGAAUUCCUGGUGUAGCGGUGAAAUGCGCAGAUAUCAGGAGGAACACCGGUGGCGAAGGCGGGUCUCUGGGCCGAUACUGACGCUGAGGAGCGAAAGCGUGGGGAGCGAACAGG